CGCCGCGGUUAUACGAGAGACCCAAGUUGACAGUCACCGGCGUAAAGCGUGGUUAAGGACUUCCCCCACUAAGGCUAAACACUUCCCUGGUUGUUAUACACUCUCGGAAGAAUGAAACCCUUUCACGAAAGUAGCUUUACUUUCCUGAACCCACCACAAUUAGGAAA
rnacentral:rRNA from 1 species